rnacentral:rRNA from 1 species
GACGAACGCUGGCGGCGUGCCUAACACAUGCAAGUCGAGCGAUGAAAUUAGAAACGGAGUCUUCGGACGAAGUGGAAAAUGGAUUAGCGGCGGACGGGUGAGUAACACGUGAGCAACCUGCCUAUCACAUCGGGAUAGCCUCGGGAAACUGGGAUUAAUACCGAAUGAAACAUAAUCACUGCCUAGUGGAAAUGUCAAAGAUUUAUCGGUGAUAGAUGGGCUCGCGUCUGAUUAGCUAGUUGGUGAGGUAAUGGCUCACCAAGGCGACGGUCAGUAGCCGGCCUGAGAGGGUGAACGGCCACAUUGGGACUGAGACACGGCCCAAACUCCUACGGGAGGCAGCAGUGGGGAAUAUUGCACAAUGGAGGGAACUCUGAUGCAGCGACGCCGCGUGAGCGAUGAAGGCUUUCGAGUCGUAAAGCUCUGUCGAAUGGGAAGAUAAUGACGGUACCAUUUGAGAAAGCCCCGGCUAACUACGUGCCAGCCGCCGCGGUAACAC